CCUAGGGAAGGAUUUGGUCAGGAGAAGAAGCAAAUGGACUCUUUCCCAAAGAGAGAAAGAGCCUGAGAAAUACACAGAAGCAAGAACAGGACUGCUGAAAAACCAAGGAGGACAGAAAGGCCUGAGACCAAAGGAAGAAAGCCAAGCUAAGCACCGCUGCCUGGUGGCUCCCCAGUGAGCGGAGGGGAAGCAGAAGCCUUAUCUAAAAGGGACAAGGUAACUUGUAAUGAGAAGGAUGAGAAGAAGGCAAAGUUGCUCUAAGUGGAGUUCAGGGCCUGGAGCCUUCUGGUUGGUUGCUACCUAGGGCACACCCCGCCUUCCCGACACCCCCCCCCCGGGGGUGGGCGGCACUAAACGCUGGAAGUCUUGGAGCACAGGGGCUCUGCCGUCUGACAGGUGAUUACAGUUAAGAGAUCGCAUGAAUCUCAGAAGAGACUUUGAACUUGGAAACAUUGUUGAGACUGUGGCAAACGAUGGGAACAUUUGAAGUUGAACUAAGUGAAUGUUGUAUUAUGAUAGUGUUACAAGCUUAUGGGGGUCAGGGGGUGGAAUGUGGUAGUUUGAAUGUAAUUGGCUCUCAUAAUCUCAUAGGGAGUGACACUGUGAGGAGCUGUGGCUUUGUUGGAGGAAGCGUGUGUCUGUGGGAGCAGGUUUCCAGGUUUCCCAUGCUGAGGAUACUACCAAGUGUGACAUUCGACUUCCUAUUGCCUGCAAAAUGUAUCAUUCAACUCCAGCACCAUGUGUGUCUACAUGCUGCCAUGCUCCCUGCCCUGAUGAUAAUGGACUGAACUUCUGAAACUGUAGGCAAGUCACCGUAAUUAAAUGUUUUCCUUUAUUAUAAGAUUUGCCGUGGUCAUAGUGUCUCUUCACAGCAAUAGAAAAACCAUAAUUAAGACAAGCGUCAUUCAAAAAAGAAGUCGUUGAGGAAAUCAGGGAUUAGAUUGAAGAAAUUCUUAGAGUCAAAUAAAAGUGAGACCAAAAUCUACCAGAAAUUUUAGGAUAUGGCUAAGAGAACCCUAAGAGGAAAGGUUAUGGUUAUAUGUGUCCACAUUUAAAAAAAUCAGAGAACUUGCAAAUAGAUGACCUCAGAUACCUCAAAAGUCUAGAAAAUCAAGGAGAUUCCAAAGAAAUAAUAAAAAUCGGUCCAAAAUUAAUGUACAACAUGAUUCUAAGCCUUUAAGUUUUCCAUUAGUCAUGUCUUCUCAUCCUAAGAGAUUAUUUGGAUGGCAUGUAGAUUGCCUUCCAGGAGGGACAUUCUAUCUUCUAGCUUUCCAUAACUUUUAACAGAUGUUGAUUGUCAAUUUCAACAGUAUGAAUCCUUUCAGAUCAUCUCAUAGUGCCAAUCUGUAAGGGUUCAUAUCCAGUGAUGUGGAGUAAAAUUUGCCUGUCAAAUUAUGGUUAUCAUUUUCAAUGGUAUGAGUCCUUUCAGCCAACGUCUCAUGACUCGUUUGUAAAGUCUGUAUCAUUUCUAAAAGUUUCUCAUUCUUGACUCUGCUAUCAAACAAUUUCUGGGGCUGGAGAGAUGGCUCAGAGGUUAAGAGCAUUGCCUGCUCUUCCAAAGGUCCUGAGUUCAAUUCCCAGCAACCACAUGGUGGCUCACAACCAUCUGUAAUGAUAUCUGGUGUCCUCUUCUGACCUGCAGUCAUACACACAGAUAGAAUAUUGUAUACAUAAUAAAUAAAUAAAUAAAUAAAUAUUUUUUUUUUAAAAAAAGACUAUAAUAUGAAGCAUCAAACUUCGCUAUGGCUAAGAAUGUACACACCCCAGGUAUGUCAUAUGCCUCUUCUAGAACUUCUCCCAUAGUAGGAAAGGUUUUGAAAUUCCUGGAUGGUGAUAUUGUCUGCUAAAUUAAAAUCCUGGUUAAAAUACUGGUUCAGAUGAGAAUUUUAAGGUAUAAUAAUGCUGUGGGCCAGCAGACAUUAUUAUACCUUGGUUUUACUGCAAACUGAACAAAUUUUUGUUAAAGAGACACUGUUUCUCGGGAACCACAGAAAGCUGUGGGGGACCAUGGGAAGCUGUGUGGGUGCCAUGCUGGGUGGCAGCAAGCUACAGGUGCCAUGGGAAGUCAUUGGUGGAUGGGCAGGCAGGAGGGGAAGAUAAGCCUGGGCAGAUGGGAGUUGGGAGCAUUAGUUUUUCUCCUGAACCCACAUGGCUAGGUUUGGGUCUGACUCUAGCCUGUGCCAUUAAUUAAAAAGCCUCAGGCAAAUGGUUUUUUUUUUUUUCAUGAAUUCAUACCUCAAAUUUUGGGCACUAAAUGUAACAUGAUUAAUAAAAAACCCUGAGACACAUAUUGGGUUCAACCUGAAGGUCAGAAAAGUGAAACAGUCAGCCCCUGGCUCUCACCUCUACCUCAGUCUGAAAUGGUAAGCCUGCUUCCAGGAAUCUCAGAAUGAGACUGUGUGUGAGAGCUGUCUCCUGCCAUUCUAUAUUCAUCUCUAGGGCUGGGAUUAAAGGUGGGCAUCGACUAUCACCGGUUUCUAUGGCAAACUAGUCUGGCUACUGGGAUUAAAUUUGUGUGUCACCACUGUCUGGUCUGUAAGUCUGAUCAGGGCAGCUGUUCUUACUGCUAAAGCAGUUCAAAGAUGCUGGAGCUCUGUUCUUACUUAUUCCAAUGCUGCUAAUCUGUGGAUGUCUAGUCCCCGGCUGCUGCUGAGUGCCGUGUCUGGGUUCGUGGGCUGAUAUCAACCUAUUUGGAAAUGUAAAGGAUCUAGGAUAGCCAUAAUAAGUUUGAAAAGAAAAAGAAGAAAAUUGAGAGCUAAUCUUAUCGUAAGUUCCAUAGUAGAGAGUUAGUUAAUCAAGGUGACAUGGUAUUGGUACCAAGAUAGAUGGUGGAGCAACUCAGGGAGUGUGAAUAGACCACACUCAACUGUCAACAUAGGUCUAAAGACAUUCAUUUAGAAGGUAGAAGUGUUGCUGGCACAGCUAGAUACCAAUACCCUUCAAAAGGAAGGAAGGAAGGAAUAGAGGAAGAGAGGGAAGUAGGUAGGUAGGGAAGGAGGAAAGAAGGAAGGAAGGAAGGAAGGAAGGAAGGAAGGAAGGAAGGAAGGAAGGAAGGAAAGAAGGAAGGAAGGAAGGGAAUCCACAAAUUUUGAUCCUUUCCUUUGUGAUCAUGUACUAAAGUUAGCUUUUAAUACAUUGUAGAUGUAAUAUAAAACCCACAAUUAUAAAAAUUUCUACAAGAAACAAAGGGAAGUCUUGUUGACAGCAUUCAAUAAACAGUUAUCAUAAACAACACCAAGAACACAACUUAUAAGAGAAAAAAUUAUCAAUUAAAAAAAAUGCUCUUGAAAAGUAAUGACUAAGAUGAUGAAAAGAAAAAGCCCAGCCACUAGUUUGAAAAUUGCAUGUCUGCAGGUCACGGUCUGAUAAGGAGCUGCUAGCCAGGAUCUAGAACUCUCCAAAUACUGUAGGAAAGUUAGUAUCACAGGGUGUUGGAAGACAAAAGCACCUCAAGUAAGCAAAUGAAGAGAUGGCAGGAUGCUGGUCUUCAGAGAGGAGGAGACAGAAGACACAUAUACAUUCUCCAGUGGCUGACACUGAGAAAACCAACAUCAAGAACUGGUCAGGGUGCAGAGACACUAGAACCGUUCUACUAUAACAUGUGUGCAGAGACACUAGAACCGUUCUACUAUAACAUGUGUGCAGAGACGCUAGAACCGUUCUACUAUAACAUGUGUGCAGAGACGCUAGAACCGUUCUACUAUAAUAUGACUCAGACAUAGUUUGGCAAUUUCUUAAAAUCUCCAACACACUCCCAUCUUCAGUCUGACCACUUCCGUUCUCCAUGUUUAUUGACAGCACAGUAAAACAGUUCCAUGCAAAAACUUCAAAUGUUUGCAAAGGCUAAAUUCAUUUUCUGUAUGACAAACUCCUAUAAAUGUGGCGGCACAGACCAGAAGCUGCUUUUAUCUUCUCGUUUCCUGGAUCAGAACUCUGAACGCGGCCUGGUGUGGGGCUCAGGCUUGCACAGAGCUGAGGCGGGGUGUUGGUCGGGCUGCAUUCCUCUCUAGAGCAUAAGCCUUUUCCAGCUGACACUGCUGUCCUCAGCUCUUCUGGGGGUGGCAGGACUGAGGUCUUUCAUCAGCUUGUUGAUGAUCAGCUAUGCCCUACCGUCAGCUCCUAGAAGCAGUGAGUAGUUCCUUGCCUCAUGGCCUUUCACAGUUCUUGUCUUCAAAGCCUUCAGGAGAUCCUCUCAGGAAUCUUUCGUGACCUAACGUAAUGACGGGCAUGACAAUCCCCUCAUCUGCAAUCCAUAUUGCGUUAGCUAUCAAUCAGCAAGGCACAGGCUCAGUCUAUACUCACAGAAGGGAUUAGACGAGAAUGAAUUAUUGCUCGUAGGACGAAUUUGCCACCGUAGCUUUUCUAGGCAUACAGUCAAGCUGGAAAUGACUACCAAGGCUAUGGCUGAGUGGCUACAUUCCGGUAAGUGCUGGAAUGCGGCAGAGCAACUCAGCAGUUACCACUCUCUAAAGCUGAGAUGAAAGAGUUUCUGCGGUUUCUAAGCAACCAAGUUUGUGGCAUUUAGUAUAGCUAUCCAAAAAGAUCGAGACACAAAGGUGGGGAGCUGUGCUGGAGUGGGUUUCCUUCUAAUUCAUGAAGGCAUUGUGGUUUAGGAAGGUGAGAGGUGGCAUAAAGGAAGUUUCUGGUUCUUUUCUUUUCUUUUUUGUUCUUUGUAGUUUUGGAGCCUGCCCUGAAACUCCUCUGUAGACCAGAUUGGCCUCAAACAAACAGAGAUCUGAUUGUCUCUGCCUUCCAUGCUGGGAUUAAAGACCUGUGCCACCACUACCCUAUGAAUACCUGGUUUUUAUGACAAAGAAGCUAAAGAUAAAAAAAUUGAAAAAAGAAAGCAUAUUUAGCAAGUGGUACUGGAAUAACUGGAUAUCAACAUGUAGAAGAAUGCAAAUAGAUCCAUAUCUAUCGCCAUGAAUAUAAGUCAAGUCCAAAUGGAUCAAAGACCUCAACAUAAAACCAACCACACUGAACCUCAUAGAAGAGAAAGUGGAAAGUACACUUGAAUGCAUUGGCACAGGAGACCACUUCUUAAGUAUAACCCUAGUAGCACAGACACUGAGAGAAACAAUUAAUAAAGGGGACCUCAUGAAACUGAAAAGCUUCUGUAAAGCAAAGGACACAAUCAACAUGACAAAAUGGCAGCCUACAGAAUGGGAAAAGAUCUUCACUAACCCCACAUCAGACAGAAGACUGAUCUUCAAAUAUACAAAGAACUCAAGAAAUUUAAUAUCAAAAAAAAAACAAAUAAUCCAAUAAAAAAUGGGGUACAGAUCUAAGCAGAGAACUCCCAACAGACAAAUCUCAAAUGGUUAAAAGACACUUAAGGAAAUGCUCAACAUUCUUAGCCACCAGAGAAAUGCAAAUCAAAACAACUAUGAUAUUUCAUCUUACACCUGUCAGAAUGGCCAAGAUCAAAAACACUGAUGACAGACUAUGCUGGAGAAGAUGAGUGGUAAGGGAAACACUCAUCCAUCGCUGGUGGGAGUGCAAACUUGUACAGCCACUAUGAAAAUCAGUAUGGCGAUUUCUCAGAAAAUUGGGAAACAAUCUACCUCAAGACCCAGCAGUACCACUUUUGGGCAUAUACCCAAAGGAUGCUAAAUCAUACCACAAGGACAUGUGCUCAACUAUGUUCAUAGCAGCAUUGUUCAUAACAACCAGAAGCUGGAAACAACCUUGACUGAAGAAUGGAUAAGGAAAAUGCGGUACAUUUACACAAUGGAGUACUACUCAGUAGAAAAAAAUAAUGACAUCUUGAAAUUUUCAGGCAAAUGAAUGAAUCUAGAAAAAAACAUAUUAAGUGAGGUAACCCAGACCCAGAAAGACAAAAUAUGAUAUGUACUCACUCAUAAGUGACUUUUAGAAAUAAAGCAAAGAAAAACCAGCCCUACAAUCCAUAACAACAAAGAGGACCCUAAAAGAGUCACACACAGGACUACAGAGGAAGGAGAAAAGAUAAGAUCUCCUGAGUAAAUUUGGAACAUGGGGGUCACAGGAGAAGGUUGAAGAAAGAGGGAAGAAAGAAAGGGGAGUGAAGAAAAAUGUAGAGCACAAUAAAAACAAUUAAAAAAUGUUCUGUGAAAAAAGGAAGUUUAAUCAGCUAGAUAUAACUUCUAAAGCCUCUUCCCUGAGGAAUAUCUUCCAUAGGUGCUACGUAAGCAGCCACAGGAGGGAAAGAACCCAGUCUUACCCAGACCUGAUGCUUCUAAGCCACAUCAACGGCCAGCACAACAAGAUGUCCUUAAAGUGUAAUAGUGACUCUCCUUUCUUGGCAGUAACCAAUAGCUGUGUCACUGGACACCGGCCCACUUAACGGGAAGGCAAUCGCGCCUGGUCUGGAAAUGCAGCCAGCUCCCUCUGACUAGUGAGAUCAUGGGACCUGGAGAAGAAGGAACUACUGCCACCUUCCCAAACACUGUAAUUCCUGACUGCGCACUAAACGCCUUUCUUUACUGUCAGAGAGGAGUGCAGCGUUCCUUGCUCCUCAAAGAAACUUCUCUUUGAAGUUGACAGAGACAAGUCCAGAAAGCCAUAGGCGGUCAAAAUGAAGUGAACAACUGGUCAUGGCAGUAGGGUGUCCAGCCCAAACGGCUACAUUUACAGUACAACCCCUCAUCUAAGACUCGGAACAUCACAGAAGAGGGGGUGGAAAGGUUCUGAGAAUCUGAGGACGAGGAAGUUUUCUGUGAGAGUGUGUCUCUUAGAAAUGAUAGGGAAUAAAUGCAGGUGCUUAAGCAAGACGAAAACAAUGAGAACACUGAUAGAAACAUGAACAUGGAAAGGACUCUUCCAGGGCCCUGGUCCUUGACUAAGAGAUACAGGCAAUUAAACACCGCUGAUUGAAGGAGAACUAGUCAUUACCAGAAAUGGCACCCCGAUAGGUCCCCCAAUACCAAGUGGUCAGCUUUAAAACAUAGACAUGAGAGCAACACUAAAUGAACUCAUCAGGUUGUACUUUACAUAUUCACACACAAUAAUACGAAAAAAAAAGCCACAAAUCUGAGUUAGAUGGAGGUCAUGGGAAGAGUUAGAAGGAG